rnacentral:lncRNA from 10 species
GGAACAUUGCGACACUUGCAAGUUCUCCCUAGUUGUUAAGAUAGAAAGGCACUGUUCAUGAGGGGAAUCCUUUGGAAGUCCUGUCUUGCUGACAGAUAGGUCCCUUUGGAACAGAUUGGAGGUCUUCUCCCCACAGCAGAGGAAAAACAACAACAGCAACAACAAUACAAAAUGACAACAGAAAAAGCAAGGAUGAUGAAUUCCCAUGGACAGCUAGCAAAUUAUCUGAUGUGGGAAGCAGGUUCAGGAUUUCUGAACGAUGGAUGAUCCUGAUUGACAUUUCAUGUGACAGUUCUCAAUCUCUUCGUGAUUGGGAAAGUGGCACUUAUAACCACCAUCUACUGGCAAGUCAUUGGCUCUCUCUCCUUCUUGGCCUGGUUUCCCUGUCCCUCAUUCCUACCUUUUUCCAGGAUCACAAAAGCCGAUAACAAGCUUGCACUCAGGUUCUGCUUCCUGGAGAGCCCAGGCUGAUAUCUCACUUCAUAUUUACAACAACUAUGCAAGAUAUGUCUUCUUGUUGUUGUCUCAUAAAUAAAGAAACGGGAGAGUCUAACAAGAUAACUGACUUGUACAGAGUCACACAGCUAGUAAGUUACAAAGGCAGAACUCUGAUUUAAGUCUUCUGCCUCUCAUCUUGCAUUAUUUCCCAGGUACCACAAUAUCUCCUAGCAAUUUUUAUUUUCUUAAUUUUAAUUUUUUUGAAACAGUGUCUUUCUCUGUCACCCAGGUUGGAGUGCAGUGAUGCAAUCAUGGCUCACUUCAGCCUCUACCUCCUGGGAUCAAGCAAUCCUCCCACCUCAGCCUCUGGAGUCACCGGGACUACAGAUACAAACUUUUGAGACCCACCCUUCGUAAGAAAAAAAAUGCAGAAGAAAGACAAAUUGGAUUUCAUUUCAAGAAAAUUGAAAAUAAAAUUCUUCAUACUGGUGUCUUAGUUCAUUUGUGUUACUAUAACAAAAUACCUGAGGCGCCUAAUUUAUAAACAAUAGAAAUUCAUUUUUCACAGUUCUGGAGCCUAGGAAGAUUAAGGCACUGCAAGUAUGCUGUCUGGUGAGAGCCUGUUCCUCAUAGAUGGUACUGUCUAGGUGUUCUCAUAUGGUGGAAGAGACGGAAAGAGAAAAAGAGAUGAACACUGUGUUCUCACAUAGCAGAAGAGUGAGACAGAAUGAACCCACUCCCUCAAGUUCUUUUAUAAGGGCCCCAAUCUCAUCCCUGAGGGCUCUACCCUUAUGACUUCACAGCAUCUAAAUACCCCACCUCUUAUCAUAUUGGCGAUUAAGUUUCAAUGCAUGAAUUUUGGGGAAAACAUUCAGACCAUAACACCUGGUAUUAAAUUAUCCAUAGAAGAAAUACAUGAAGGAAGGACUAACUCCUCUUAGUGUAUACAAACAUGUUGACAGAGAUGCUUUCCUUAAGAAAUAUCAUGUAAUUUGAAGGUAAGAUGAUUUUUUUCUUUUUCUUUUCUUUUCUUUUUUUUUUUUUUUUUUUUUUUUGAGACGGAGUCUCACUCUGUCACCCAGGCUAAAGUGCAGUGGCACAAUCUCGGUUCACUGCCACCUCUGCCUCCCAGGUUCAAGCGAUUCUCCUGCCUCAGCCUCCUGAGUAGCUGGGACUAUAGGCGCGUGCCCCCCAAGCCUGGCUAAUUUUUUGUAUUUUUAGUAGAGACGGGGUUUCACCGUGUUAGAUAGGAUGGUCUCCAUCUCCUGACAUUGUCAUCUGCUCGCCUUGGCCUCCCAAAGUGCCGGAAUUAUAGGCGUGAGCCACUGUGCCAGGCUGAAAAGAUGAUUUUUGAUAGCUUGAAUCCAGGUCUUCUUAGGGACUGAAUCCUCCUGCACAAUCCUGUAAGCCUACAUCCCCUCAAGUGUAUUCCUUCAAACACUUGUUCUCCAGGAUGUAAAUAAGUUUACGUGAAAAGAGUAUUCUGUGAUCAGAUCCUUAAAUGCUGACACCAGCCCGAAAAUAAUCUGUUGAUAAAGCAAAGCUAAUUUUAUUGUUUACUGUGCUAAGGGAGAUUGUUAUUUUGACAGUCUUAGUCACAUCUGAAUUCGAGAGAAAAAAGUUGCAGGUAUUAAUAAGAUGUAGGGGGUGGUCAGCGGAUCCUUCAAAGUGGGAGCUAGACUAGGACUGCAGAAGAUUCACAAUGUUAUUGUUUAGGAUUGGUGAACAUGGCAUGGAUAUGGUUUCAAAGAGAAUUUUUGAAGAGGAAACACUCUUUUCGUGCUAUAUUGUCCUGAGAAAAGGUAUUUUCUCUGAUGAAGUUAUUGGGGCUCAGAAACUGGUACCCCAGCAGCUUUGACAUACUGAACUAAAGAAGCAACCUCAAGGUCUCUUUGACCUUCCCCUACCCCUUCCUGUCUCUCAAUCCUCUGUCUCUAUCAAAGCACUUGAUGAAGCUGGUCUCUGAAGUUCCUUUAUCUGCCUGAAGUCCAGACCCACCAAAGAAGAAAACAAUUACCUCUGUUCCCUUCCUUGAAUUUGCAUUAACUUAAUUCAUAUGGCAAGAACAAAGACUAAAAGACCUGGACAGACUUUUGUCCAAACCAUUGUCUUCCUUUUUGGUCCACUCAGUAUUUCAAAGAGAAUCAUUUACCAGUCACUGUCUGUUUUGUGGGAUCAAAAUACUUUGUCCUAGGCCAUUGUAUCUUCUUCAAAUCCAUUUAUUUUCACCUAAAAAUCAUUUAUUAUGUCUCAAAUUGCCACACUCACCCCAUCUCCCUUUGCCCUAUGAAGAAGGGUAUAUAAGCAUCUGUACCCCACUGGGUCAUUGGGUAAUCAUUCUCCUGUGAUUUCCUUAUGUUAUGCACAGUAAAAUAAAUUUUAUAUGCUUUUCUCCUAUUCACCUACAUUUCUAAGUUGAUUUUCUGCAAAAUUUCAGAGGAAAAUAAAUUUUUUUCUAUGGCCCCUACAAUGGUAAAUGGAAUGUUUAGAUAAAUAGAUUUUCUGUGAGGUCCUGAAAUUAACAAUAAAGAUAUUUACAACUUUAGUUUCCUAAGUUUCUUGAAUAGUAAAAUCAUGUAAAACAAGAUAAAAAAAUAGUAAACUCUUGUUAGUGCAGAGUAUAGACAAUAAACUUAUAGUCUCUUGAACAGACACUUUGUAGCGAAACAAAAUGUGCCUUUUCUUUAGGCCUCAGCCAUCCUCAUGACAGUACCUCCCUAACACCUACCAUCUUUCUGGAUUCUUCCUUAAACUCUUACCUGAAACCUUUCUGCUUUGUAGUCCAAACUUGAAUCCCCAUAAUCAUUUCUAUUUCCAGGCCUUUUCUGUUGAAAAUCAAUCUGAUAUUUUCCCGUUCCUAGGAUUCCAAUCAGAAUGACAGGAUGCCAGCCCUAAGGAGGCAGAAACAAUAAAGGAUCCUUCCUUCUUAGAGCUGGAAGGGAGUGGAGGUUGACUUCAGUCUCUGAAUUUGUAUGUUAAUAUCUGUGUCCUCUCUAUAGGUUCAAAAGAUCUAUCUGAUGAAAGAAACAGUGAGGAAACAAUUAAUAUUAGAUGGUGGCACAGAAUUAAGUUUCAGGAUGUUUGUAGCACCAAAUAGAGGAAGGUUUUUUUUAAAAAAAAAAAAAAGUAUUUUAAGUCUUCUAUGAGUGCAAGUAGAAGGAAAGGAAGGGAAUGUUCUCUGUUGGGGGCCAAUGAUAUAUUGACUAAUGACAAGGAAAAAGCAAACCUCUCUUUGGACUGAAAAAAAGACAAGACAUGUUGAUAAGAGGAAACUGUAGCUUUAGCUGGGGAAGCAUAGUUAAACUUCUGGUCCUGAAUUAUUUCUAAAGGUCUCUAAAGAAUCUUCAAAUUAAAUCAUUAAACCAAACAU